GCAUCUUGAUCAUGUUUCACUUGUUGAGAGCAAUCAGUUAGACCACUUUAAGCUGAACUCUAACGAGAACCAUAUAAUCCAGCAAACAGAUGAAGUUUCUCCAACUCUAUCAGAGUAUCCUGAGGAAGGGUUGAAUAAUGUGGAUGGUCCUGUUCAUCAGGGGAAUCCUCUUGCUUCUACCAGUGUUGGUUGGACAGCAGUUAGCAUAGCUACUUCUUAUGGACGUGCCACUCCCAUAAGUCAUGAAUAUUCUUCUGUUGAGGAGUUGUCACUUGGGCAUACUCGAGUUACUGAUGAGCCAGCGGCUAAUCUUAUUAAUCUGGGAGCUGUCCCUACUGAAAAGGAUGCUGGGAGGGAUAUGUUGCCCAGAGAACCCAGUGAUGUUUCUCUUUUUGGUUCAUACCCUCAGAACAGGAAUGAAAUAUUUCAACCAUUUUUUAAAGGUCCAGAUAAUUUAUCUUACAAUCAUGAGCAUAGACAGCCUCCACUGGUGUACCAGCCAUCAAGCAAUCUGAUCGUGGAGCCAGGUCAAUAUUCUGGUCAUUUAAGGGAGCAGCUUCAUGCGCAGUUACCAUUGGAGCUAAGGCACAAGGGACUGAAUGAUCUCCUCUCGCAUCAGAACUUUCAGGAGAAUCUAUACCCAGAUGGAGGUCGAUACUCUUUCCCUAGGCAUGAGCAGUUGAAUGUUGGCAUGCAAGAUUGGGCAGUCAAUUCUGUUCAUGUAUCACUAGGAUCUUGCACAAGGGACUGAAUGAUCUCCUCAUGCAUCAGAACUUCCAGGAGAAUCUAUACCCAGAUGGAGGUCGAUACUCUUUCCCUAGGCAUGAGCAGUUGAAUGUUGGCAUGCAAGAUUGGGCUGUCAAUUCUGUUCAUGU
rnacentral:lncRNA from 1 species